UAAGGAAUAUUGCUCAAUGGGAGAAAUCCUGAAGCAGCAACGCCGCGUGGAGGAUGAAGGGCUUUCAGCUUGUAAACUCCAGUAACGAAGGAAAAAAUUCCCAUUAGAUGGGAAAUGAUGGUACUUCUAAAGUAAGCCCCGGCUAACUACGUGCCAGCAGCCGCGGUAAUACGUAGGGCGCAAGCGUUGUCCGGAUUUACUGGGUGUAAAGGGUGCUCAGGCGGAUUUGUAAGUCAGAGGUGAAAUCUCACAGCUUAACUGUGAAACUGCCUUUGAUACUGCAAGUCUAGAGUAUGGAAGAGAGUGAUGGAAUGUCUGGUGUAGCAGUGAAAUGCGUAGAGAUCAGAUAGAACAACAAUGGCGAAGGCAGUCACUUGUUCCAUUACUGACGCUAAAGCACGAAAGCGUGGGUAGCAAACA
rnacentral:rRNA from 1 species